GAGACACGGCCCAGACUCCUACGGGAGGCAGCAGUGGGGAAUAUUGCACAAUGGGCGCAAGCCUGAUGCAGCGACGCCGCGUGAGGGAUGGAGGCCUUCGGGUUGUAAACCUCUUUUAUCGGGGAGCAAGCGAGAGUGAGUUUACCCGUUGAAUAAGCACCGGCUAACUACGUGCCAGCAGCCGCGGUAAUACGUAGGGUGCAAGCGUUAUCCGGAAUUAUUGGGCGUAAAGGGCUCGUAGGCGGUUCGUCGCGUCCGGUGUGAAAGUCCAUCGCUUAACGGUGGAUCCGCGCCGGGUACGGGCGGGCUUGAGUGCGGUAGGGGAGACUGGAAUUCCCGGUGUAACGGUGGAAUGUGUAGAUAUCGGGAAGAACACCAAUGGCGAAGGCAGGUCUCUGGGCCGUUACUGACGCUGAGGAGCGAAAGCGUGGGGAGCGAACAGGAUUAGAUACCCUGGUAGUCCACGCCGUAAACGGUGGAUGCUGGAUGUGGGGCCCGUUCCACGGGUUCCGUGUCGGAGCUAACGCGUUAAGCAUCCCGCCUGGGGAGUACGGCCGCAAGGCUAAAACUCAAAGAAAUUGACGGGGGCCCGCACAAGCGGCGGAGCAUGCGGAUUAAUUCGAUGCAACGCGAAGAACCUUACCUGGGCUUGACAUGUUCCCGACGGUCGUAGAGAUACGGCUUCCCUUCGGGGCGGGUUCACAGGUGGUGCAUGGUCGUCGUCAGCUCGUGUCGUGAGAUGUUGGGUUAAGUCCCGCAACGAGCGCAACCCUCGCCCCGUGUUGCCAGCGGAUUAUGCCGGGAACUCACGGGGGACCGCCGGGGUUAACUCGGAGGAAGGUGGGGAUGACGUCAGAUCAUCAUGCCCCUUACGUCCAGGGCUUCACGCAUGCUACAAUGGCCGGUACAACGGGAUGCGACGCGGCGACGCGGAGCGGAUCCCUGAAAACCGGUCUCAGUUCGGAUCGCAGUCUGCAACUCGACUGCGUGAAGGCGGAGUCGCUAGUAAUCGCGAAUCAGCAACGUCGCGGUGAAUGCGUUCCCGGGCCUUGUACACACCGCCCGUCAAGUCAUGAAAGUGGGCAGCACCCGAAGCCGGUGGCCUAACCCCUUGUGGGAUGGAGCCGUCUAAGGUGAGGCUCGUGAUUGGGACUAAGUCGUAACAAGGUAGCCGUACCGGAAGGUGCGGCUG
rnacentral:rRNA from 1 species